CCCAAAUGCAUGCUUUACAAUUAUUCUAUUUAUUUUUUUUCUCAAUAUUCAAACUUCAUUUCUUUGGGAAAAUAAUCAGGUAUUAUUUCAAGUUAGUGCAGAGUGCCACAGCAAUUCAGUAAUAAAACAGAUAUGUUGAUCAAAUUUCUGAUUGCAUUGUCAACAAAAAAUGCCUAAGAUUAUACUUCCUAAACAAUGUUAGUGAAAUAUCCCCUGGAAAAGAAUACCUUUCAAAAAAAAAAAAAAAAAAAAAGUUUCCAUUUGCAAGGAGCAAUUCUAAGUAGCUUUCAGAAUUACUUAAGACCUUACUUUGAGAAAAUGGCUGUCUAUUUAUAGUAAAUGCAGAUGAUCUCCUGUGUCACAUAAUUUUUCACUCCAUCUCACAGUAAAAACUCUUUAGAAAUAUCAUAAUAUAUUCUCAAUGCAAGGCUGAAAUCCUUGCCUUCAAUCCUGGUUUUAUUCCUUUGGAAAAAAAAAAAAAAAAAAAAAAAAAAAAGCACAAUUUUCUUAGAGAUUAUUUUCUUCUCUGUCUCAAGAAAAAUCAUACUAAGUCAAAUUGGAACAAAAUUGUUAAGUACCUGCACAUAUCAGAAGGGCUCUGUGCAAUAUUUGAGUGAAGAUUAACAGUUAUUUUUCUUCAGAAUUGUAUCACAGAAAAGAUGGUGCUUCAGAUUAACAGUGAACCUGAAGGAAAAGUAGUUUCCGGCUCCAAUUUUCCUACCAUAUUGGACAAAUCUGACAACUUAGAGAAAACAUCUGUGGCUCUGGAAGAGUUCUUCCUUCCUGGGAGCCCACUCCACUGCAUCUGCUUUCCUACAGCCACCUUCCUCUGUCCAAGUAAGCUCCUCUGUACUAUGGUCCUGUGCCUCUCUUCAUCUCUUCUAUGUCCAUUGCUUUGAUUUAAUUUAUUUGUAUUAAUUUAAUUAAUUUGUUUGUUAAUUAUAUUAUUUGUUAAUUAUAUUAAUUUAAUAAUUAAUUUAUUUGUAUUAAUUUAUAUGUAUUAAUUUAUAUGUAUUCUUAGCUACAGGUUAUCUGAGGUUACUUCAAGCAGAAGUACAACUUCAAAAUGAGUGUCAAUGUAGUACAUGCAUAAAAUAUGGUAAUAGACCUAAAGACUUACACACCUAAAUGGAAAACUUCUGUAUAGAAAGAUGUUUCAGCCCAUGGAGCCAUCCAGCAGAAGACUUACCUCAGAAAACAUGCCCUGACCAUCAAGCCAAGCACCAUGGUCUGAAAGGUCUUCAAAGUACUUUCAAAGGCCCCAGUUAUGCAAUCGAUUAAUUACAGCUAUUGUGCAGGCAAUAGAAAACUGGAGAAGGAAGUCAGCAAAAGGGAGAAAAGUGGAAUGAUGAAGAGGAAUGAAGGAUCUUGACAGAAAUUGUUGGGGGAGUAAACCUGACAACUUCGGGAUGCCUACCUUAUUCAAAGAGACACAUGCAACAAUACAUAUUGCUUCUAUUAUUUUCCAAAACCACUGGUAUUUCUUUUUCUAUUUCCAAGAUUAAAUAAAUAAAUAAUUUUCCAGCA
rnacentral:lncRNA from 1 species